ensembl:snRNA U6 U6 spliceosomal RNA
GUGCUCUCUUCAGCAGCACAUACACUAAAAUUGGAACGAUACAGAGAAGAUUAGCAUGGUCCCUGCACAAGGAUGACAGACAAAUUCAUGAAGCAUUCUAUAUUAAC